rnacentral:piRNA from 1 species
UGUACUGUAUAGUUGCUAAGGCCUCUUCCC